GCGUCCGUAGCUCAGCUGGAUAGAGCACCAGACUACGAAUCUGGGGGUCGGGAGUUCGAAUCUUCCCGGACGCGCCA
rnacentral:tRNA from 1 species